AUGGUGGAAACUUUGUAUUCCAAAGAACAAAGGGGGAUGGGAUUUAGGGAUCUGCAUAGCUUCAAUCUUGCUUUGCUUGCCAAGCAAGUAUGGAGAUUGUUGGAAAAUCCGGACUCUUUGUGUGCACAGGUCCUAAGAUCAAAAUACUACCCGGACGGGAAACUUCUGGAAGCGAAGAUGAAGAGUGGUUGUUCUUUCACAUGGCAGAGUAUAUGUGCUGGCAUUAAUACCUUU
rnacentral:rRNA from 1 species